AUUGAACGCUGGCGGCAGGCUUAACACAUGCAAGUCGAACGGUAACAUAAAGAAGCUUGCUUCUUUGAUGACGAGUGGCGGACGGGUGAGUAAUGCUUGGGAAUCUAGCUUAUGGAGGGGGAUAACUACGGGAAACUGUAGCUAAUACCGCGUAAUAUCGAGAGAGUAAAGUGUGGGACCUUCGGGCCACAUGCCAUAGGAUGAGCCCAAGUGGGAUUAGGUAGUUGGUGAGGUAAAGGCUCACCAAGCCGACGAUCUCUAGCUGGUCUGAGAGGAUGACCAGCCACACUGGGACUGAGACACGGCCCAGACUCCUACGGGAGGCAGCAGUGGGGAAUAUUGCGCAAUGGGGGCAACCCUGACGCAGCCAUGCCGCGUGAAUGAAGAAGGCCUUCGGGUUGUAAAGUUCUUUCGGUAGCGAGGAAGGCAUUUAGUUUAAUA
rnacentral:rRNA from 1 species